rnacentral:rRNA from 2 species
GGGGAAACCGGCGAACGGGUGAGUAACACGUGAGGAACCUGCCCUGUACACCGGGAUAACUACGGGAAACCGUGGCUAAUACCGGAUGCUCCACCUUGAUCGCAUGAUCGGGGUGGGAAAGCUCAGGCGGUACAGGAGGGCCUCGCGGCGUAUCAGCUAGUUGGUGGGGUAAUGGCCUACCAAGGCUACGACGCGUAGCUGGAGUGAGAGCUCGAACAGCCACACUGGGACUGAGACACGGCCCAGACUCC